ACACGCUGGCGGCGUGCCUAACACAUGCAAGUCAACUUGACUGAAGGAGCAAUCUGACAGUAGAGUGGCGCAAGGGUGCGUAACGCGUAAGUAACUUGCCCAAGGUAAGGAAUAACGUCGAGAAAUCGGCGCUAAUACCUCAUAAUGCAGCGGAUCCGCAUGGAUAUGUUGUUAAAGGUUUACCGCCUUGGGAUAGGCUUGCGUCUGAUUAGCUAGUUGGUGUGGUAACGGCACACCAAGGCUACGAUCAGUAACUGGUCUGAGAGGAUGAUCAGUCACACUGGAACUGAGACACGGUCCAGACUCCUACGGGAGGCAGCAGUGAGGAAUAUUGGGCAAUGCUCGAAAGAGUGACCCAGCAACGCCGCGUGGAGGAUGAAGGUAUUCUAUAUCGUAAACUCCUGUGAGAGCAGACGAAAGACAGAUUAUUAAUCUGGAUGACUGUAUGCUCAGAGGAAGCCCCGGCUAACUACGUG
rnacentral:rRNA from 1 species